UACGGGGGGAGCAAGCGUUGUCCGGAUUUAUUGGGCGUAAAGCGCGUGUAGGCGGCUACGCAGGUCCGUUGUGAAAACUGGAGGCUCAACCUCCAGACGUCGACGGAAACCGUGUGGCUAGAGUCCGGAAGAGGAGAGUGGAAUUCCUGGUGUAGCGGUGAGAUGCGCAGAUAUCAGGAAGAACACCAAUGGCGAAGGCAGCUCUCUGGGACGGUACUGACGCUGAGACGCGAAAGCGUGGGGAGCGAACAGG
rnacentral:rRNA from 1 species